AUUAGAUUAAAAGCCAACGCCCUUCGGGGCUCCCUGGUGAUUCAUGAUAACUGCUCGAAUCGCAUGGCCUUGCGCCGGCGAUGGUUCAUUCAAAUUUCUUCCCUAUCAACUUUCGAUGCGAGCGUCUUGUGCUCGCAUGGUUGCAACGGGUAACGGAGGGUUAGGGCUUGACCCCGGAGAAGGAGCCUGAGAAACGGCUACUACAUCCAAGGAAGGCAGCAGGCGCGCAAAUUACCCAAUUCCGAUACGGAGAGGUAGUGACAAUAAAUACUGAUCCAGCGCUCUUAUGGGUGUUGGAAUCGGAAUGAGCACAAUUUAAAUCCCUUAACGAGGAACAAUUGGAGGGCAAGUCUGGUGCCAGCAGCCGCGGUAAUUCCAGCUCCAAUAGCGUAUAUUAAAGUUGUUGUGGUUAAAAAGCUCGUAGUUGAACCUUGGGCCUGGCUACAGGACCGCCUCACCGCGUGCUCUUUCAGUAGCCGGGCCUUUCCCACUGUGGGAACCCUAUGGCCUUCACUGGG
rnacentral:rRNA from 1 species